rnacentral:antisense_RNA from 1 species
AUCGUACUCCAGCCUGGGCAAUAAAGUAAGACCCUAUCUCAUAAAAAACAAAAAAACAAAAAACAAAAAAAAAAGAAGAAGAAAGAGAGAUAGAUUAGCAUUUGAAUGGGUGGACUGAGUAAAGCAGAUGGCCCCUCGUCAGUGUGGGUGGGAAUUGUCCUAUCCAUUGAGGGCUUAAAUGAAACAAAGACUGAGGAAGGUUGAAUUCAAUCUCUGCCUGACUGCUGGGGCUGAGACAUCAAUCUUCUCCUGCUCUCAGUGCUCUUCCAGACUCAGACUGGAAUGUACACUAUCAGCUCUCCAGUUCUCAGGCCUUCAAAUUACACCUCUGGCUUUCCUGAGUCUCCAGCUUGCAGAUGGCAGAUCGUGGGACUUCAUGGGACUUCUCAGACUCCAUAACCAAGCAAGCCAUUUUACUUACUUUGGACUCAUUUUCUUAAUCCAAAAAUGGAAGUAAGGCUUGUCAUCUGUCUUAUUCAUAGUCACAGGGCUGAGGAGCUACAGUCUAAAUGCAUAUGCAUGUUUGGAACCGAAGUCAGCCAUCUUCCCUAGGACAAAUCUUUACUCUUCUAAAGAAGGACAAGAAUAAGGAUUUGAAUGACUUUCAUCAUAAUGAAGGCUUCUGCAGAGUAAUUGAUUUUGACCAUGAGUACCUGUUGGAGUCACAGCAACUUUUCCUUCUAGAUUAUCUUACAG